rnacentral:rRNA from 1 species
CUACGGGCCGCAGCAGUGAGGAAUUUUGCGCAAUGGGGGAAACCCUGACGCAGCAACGCCGCGUGAGCGAAGAAGGCCUUCGGGUCGUAAAGCUCUGUCAAGUGGGAAAAAAAUCUUUUGAUCAAUAGUCAAAAGACUUGAUGGUACCACUGGAGGAAGCACCGGCUAACUCCGUGCCAGCAGCCGCGGUAAUACGGAGGGUGCAAGCGUUGUUCGGAAUUACUGGGCGUAAAGAGCGUGUAGGCGGUUUGGUAAGUCAGAUGUGAAAGCCCUGGGCUCAACCCGGGAAGUGCAUUUGAAACUACCUUUCUUGAGUAUGGGAGAGGGGAGUGGAAUUCCCAGUGUAGAGGUGAAAUUCGUAGAUAUUGGGAGGAACACCCGUGGCGAAGGCGACUCUCUGGACCAAUACUGACGCUGAGACGCGAAAGCGUGGGGAGCAAACAGGAUUAGAUACCCUUGUAGUC